CCUACGGGUGGCAGCAGUGAGGAAUAUUGGUCAAUGGCCGAGAGGCUGAACCAGCCAAGUCGCGUGAGGGAAGACGGCCCUACGGGUUGUAAACCUCUUUUGUCGGGGAGCAAAGCGAACCACGUGUGGUUCAUUGAGAGUACCCGAAGAAAAAGCAUCGGCUAACUCCGUGCCAGCAGCCGCGGUAAUACGGAGGAUGCGAGCGUUAUCCGGAUUUAUUGGGUUUAAAGGGUGCGCAGGCGGGGGUGCAAGUCAGCGGUCAAAUUGCGGGGCUCAACCCCGUACUGCCGUUGAAACUGCAGCCCUUGAGUGCGCGAGAGGUAUGCGGAAGGCGUGGUGUAGCGGGGAAAGGCAUAGAGAGCACGCAG
rnacentral:rRNA from 1 species